AUUGCAUUUCUUUCCAGAAUCAUUGGACACUCAGCAAUGAAAGUUGCUGUAGUAGUAUAUAUUGGUAGUAAUACACUACCAUUAAAGAAUGACCACCAGAAAAAAAAGGACUUUGGAAAAAUGAUUUUUUGAUGUUUGAAUAUCAUAUAUUCUUGAACUUUUAGGUCAUUUGAAGUUUUAGAAUAUUUCUUCCAUAAGGGAAAAUAGAAAUUAAUAGGCAAGAUAUGCUGUAAUGCUUCAGUUUUGUUAAGACUGAUAUCAAGAAAGAAAUUUGAUUAUGAUAGUUCUGCAGUAUGUCUCUGUGUAUCUUUUUCUUCCUUUGCAAAUUAUGUUUGUAAGAAGUUUUUGUAUCAGUCUCUCUGAUGAGAAAAAAACUUGAAUGAAAUUAAUAAUUUUGCAUUUCUAAGAUCUGUAAUCAAUGUUUCAAAAUCAAAGGCAAAUUGAAACAUCUGUUACUCAUCUUGCAAUGAAAAAUUAUUUGUUAUUUAUUUAUGCUCUUCUCUAGAUUUGUCACGAUAAAGUUUUUCAUUUCUUGUUAAUAUGUUUGAUGUUGGGGGGGAAGGGAUGGGUGCCUUAUUCAACUCAUCCAGUGAUGUUGAAGAACUACACAUGUUAUUUCUGCAUUAAUGCAAGGAUAUUUUUUUGACAAAAGAUGAAGAUACUGCUCACAAACUCAGAACACAGAGAGAAACUUCUGGUGGAGAACCUGUCGUUGAUAAAGUAAAGGCAGCUGAGUCAACAGAAGUAUCGAGUCAAGCAGCCCAGCUUCACACGGAUGAAGAAGGUGCAUCAAAGAAAGACACAGAGCCUCAGAAAGAGGAAAAAGUGGUGAAAGGAAAAGAAAAAGCAGUUCAAAGGAACCGAAGAAAGAAAAGUUCCGAUAAGACA